CUGCACCCCUAUGUUUUGGCCCAUUAAUCCAUUCAUUCAUUCUUUUUCAUUUCUUUUUUUUUAAUUCAUUUUAUUUUUUCUGUUUUGUUUUAGUUAAUAUAAAAUAUUUUAUUUAUUCAUAAAAAUACCAAAAAAUAUUUUUUACUUUCCUUAAUGUUUUAUUUAAUUUAUUUAAUUUUUAUUUUCAUAUUUUAUUUAAUGUUAAUAUUUUAUUUUAAUUAUU
rnacentral:lncRNA from 1 species